rnacentral:rRNA from 1 species
GGGCCCGCACAAGCGGCGGAGCAUGCUGAUUAAUUCGAUGCAACGCGAAGAACCUUACCUGGGUUUGACAUAUGGGGAAAACUCACAGAGAUGUGAGGUCCUUUUGGGCUCCAUACAGGUGGUGCAUGGCUGUCGUCAGCUCGUGUCGUGAGAUGUUGGGUUAAGUCCCGCAACGAGCGCAACCCUCGUCCUAUGUUGCCAGCACGUCAUGGUGGGGACUCAUAGGAGACUGCCGGGGUCAACUCGGAGGAAGGUGGGGAUGACGUCAAGUCAUCAUGCCCCUUAUGUCCAGGGCUUCACACAUGCUACAAUGGCCGGUACAGAGGGCUGCGAUACCGUGAGGUGGAGCGAAUCCCUUAAAGCCGGUCUCAGUUCGGAUCGGGGUCUGCAACUCGACCCCGUGAAGUUGGAGUCGCUAGUAAUCGCAGA